rnacentral:rRNA from 1 species
GACGAACGCUGGCGGCGUGCCUAAUACAUGCAAGUCGAGCGAGACUCUUCGGGGUCUAGCGGCGGACGGGUGAGUAACACGUGGGCAACCUGCCUGUAAGACUGGGAUAACACCGGGAAACCGGUGCUAAUACCGGAUAAUCCUUUUUCUCUCAUGAGGAAAAGCUGAAAGUCGGUUUCGGCUGACACUUACAGAUGGGCCCGCGGCGCAUUAGCUAGUUGGUGAGGUAACGGCUCACCAAGGCGACGACGCGUAGCCGACCUGAGAGGGUGGUCGGCCACACUGGGACUGAGACACGGCCCAGACUCCUACGGGAGGCAGCAGUAGGGAAUCUUCCACAAUGGACGGAAGUCUGAUGGAGCAACGCCGCGUGAGCGAUGAAGGCCUUCGGGUCGUAAAGCUCUGUUGUUAGGGAAGAACAAGUACCGGAGUAACUGACGGUACCUUGACGGUACCUAACCAGAAAGCCACGGCUAACUACGUGCCAGCCGCCGCAGUAAAAC